UACGUAGGGGGCGAGCGUUGUCCGGAUUUAUUGGGCGUAAAGCGCUCGCAGGCGGUCCGAUGCGUCGUGCGUGAAAGCCCCCGGCUCAACUGGGGAGGGUCGUGCGAUACGGUCGGACUUGAGGCCAGUAGGGGGAUGCGGAAUUCCAGGUGUAGCGGUGAAAUGCGUAGAUAUCUGGAGGAAUACCGGUGGCGAAGGCGGCAUCCUGGACCGGCAUUGACGCUGAUGAGCGAAAGCUAGGGGAGCAAACAGG
rnacentral:rRNA from 1 species